UACGUAGGUGACAAGCGUUGUCCGGAUUUACUUGGGCGUAAAGGGCGCGUAGGCGGUCGUGACAAGUCACUUGUGAAAUCUCCGGGCUUAACUCGGAACGGUCAAGUGAUACUGUCGGACUAGAGUACAGAAGGGGGCAACUGGAAUUCUCGGUGUAGCGGUGAAAUGCGUAGAUAUCGAAGAGGGAACACCCUGGCGGCGAAGGCGGGUUGCUGGGCUGAUAACUGACGGUGAGGCGCGGGAAAGCCAGGGGAGCGAACGGG
rnacentral:rRNA from 1 species